rnacentral:lncRNA from 1 species
CUGGCGGGGAGUUCGUCCCACUCGGAGCCACAGCCUUGCCCGAGGGAGCCUCGAAAUCGUUCAAGGGCAACCUCAGACCAGAGCCAGGGCGCCUCCUCCACAUUCCUGACAGAUGUGCACGCCGCCUCCUCUUGGAUGCUUCCCGUGACAAGGAGCUCACUCCUCAACAAGGCGGACUGCUCGUCCAUCAAGCCUGGCAUCUAAUUCACCUGUGCCGGGUACCGCAGAUGGAGAACGCCAGACAGCUGACACAAAUGCAAGACCCACAGCAACCCCAGAGGCUGAAUUAUUUCCUCCUGGAUGGGAAUGAGUCAUCUCCUCCGCCGUCUCCCUCAACAGGGCUGUAACAUGUUUCCAAGGGUUUCAAAGCCCUGUUUGAAAACAUGGGCUUUGCGGACAGACCCAUGUUCAACUUCAACCCCAGCGGCUUCUGGGUGGGUGGCCUUGAGCAAGUCUCUUCCCAAAGGCUCAUCUUGCUCAUCUAUAAACACAGUGAGUACAAAUGAGAUGGACAAGAAGACCCCUGCCUCCAGGGCCCCAUUAUUAUUCCUUAGUUGUUUCUAAAACAAGUCUGCAGGCCACUCUCAGGCCUCCCUGGACCCCAGGGAAGCGGUCUAUAUAACUACUGCACCUAGAACAGUCCUUCAGCCCCCUCCCAGGCUGAUCUGAAAGGUUUCCUUCAGCUCCCUGGAUCACUGCUGAGAAACACAGGACAAGUCUCUUAAAGCCUGGCUUCCAUGGGCCUAGCCCCAAUGCUCACCUGCUCUGAGAAGCCAGAAUUCCUCAGGUGGACACCAGAUGGAGCCCCGCCAUGACCCUGUUGCUGAUAAAUGACCAUAGAGGAGACAGUCACAAUUCCAAGAAUCUGAG